UACGUAGGGUGCGAGCGUUGUCCGGAAUUACUGGGCGUAAAGAGCUCGUAGGCGGUUUGUCGCGUCGGCCGUGAAAUCUCCACGCUUAACGUGGAGCGUGCGGUCGAUACGGGCAGGCUUGAGUUCGGUAGGGGAGACUGGAAUUCCUGGUGUAGCGGUGAAAUGCGCAGAUAUCAGGAGGAACACCGGUGGCGAAGGCGGGUCUCUGGGGCCGAUACUGACGCUGAGGAGCGAAAGCGUGGGGAGCGAACAGG
rnacentral:rRNA from 1 species